GAUCCUAGGUUUAUCUUUCCUUUUUCUUGUUUAAUCGCGGGUCCGAGCGGGUGUGGAAAGACCUAUUUUGUAAAAAAUGUAUUGGAAAACUGUGACCGUGUAAUAAAUGUUGUACCUGACAAUAUCGUGUGGAAAGACCUAUUUUGUAAAAAAUGUAUUGGAAAACUGUGACCGUGUAAUAAAUGUUGUACCUGACAAUAUCGUGUGGAUUUAUACCUCUUUUCAACCUAUGUACACUGAACUGCAAAAGAUGAUUAAAAACAUUAAAUUUGUCAAAGGUCUGCCCGAUACUUUUGAAGAUGAAACACUGUUUCCUCCUGAUCAAAAGCAUUUGAUUAUUUUGGACGAUGUUAUUUUUCAAGCCUCUGACCAUCCUGAAGUGGUAAAGAUUUUUACACAGUAUCGCCACCACAGAAACAUGAGUGUUAUGAUGUUGACUCAAAACGUGUUUCACCAGGGUAAACACAGUCGCACCAUCAGUUUGAACAGCAAUUAUUUGGUCAUGUUUAAAAACCCACGGGAUAAACUACAAAUGAAUAUAUUGGCUCAUCAGAUUUUUCCAUCACAAAAGACAUUUUUCUUGGAGAGUUUUGAAGACGCCACAAAAGACCCUCACGGGUAUUUAAUAGUGGAUCUCACCCCCGUCUGCCCAGAUCCGUACAGACUGAGGACGGGUGUACUUCCUCACCAGCAAGCGGCCGUUUACAUCCCCAGAGCGUCGACGUAGAUCAUCAUGUCAGCGCGUAUAAAAAGAAACGCACCCCUGCUGAAGGCCCUGUACCGUGGCACACCCAAGAAACGUAGAGACAUUCUUAUUCACAGCUCCCCGGAUUUUAUCCAGACACUGUGUGAGAUUUCUUUAAAUCUUCUAAAAGGAAACGUCCCCCUGACUCCUUCUCAAUUUAAAAAACUGAAGAGACAGAAAAAAAUUAUCAAACUGUUGGCUGAUAAAAGAACCAGUUUAAAGAGGAAGCAACAGGUUCUAAAGAAGCAGACGGGCGGAUUUCUUUUACCUCUCCUCUCAGCGGUGGUACCUUUGAUCGGGAACCUCGUCGGAGGAUUGAUACGAAAAUGACUUUGAAAAAGGCCCAAAAAAUGUUUCUCGUCACCCCUCAUCAACUCAACCGCCUGACGCGACCCUCCCAGUCCAUCAGAGAUGUCGCGGAGGACGAUUUGGAUGCUAGGAUGAGAGCCAUCUUAAACGAG
rnacentral:lncRNA from 1 species